rnacentral:lncRNA from 1 species
UGUGAAUGUGAUUGGUGUAAGUGGCUGUGAUGUUAUUGUCACAGAAUCUGCCAACGUUGAUAAUGAUUGUCGUAUGUGGCUCUCUCUCCUUUACCUUUUUUUCUUUUUUUCCUUCAAUCAUUUGCUCUUAUCAGGACAUGAGAGAAAGGAUGGCCGCCAUCGGUGGGGGACUGAAUUUUCCCUACCUUGUGGUGCUGGUGCCAUGUAUUUAGAAGGCCG